rnacentral:sRNA from 2 species
GCGACAGAGGAUACACCCGCCACGACAGCUCAAUCUACGGCGCUCGCGGGGACUUUAGUGUCCUCCCUCCAUCGGCUUAAGGACACCGAUAAUAUGGAAGGUGGUUUUUUCGUCUUCGGCGACCUUUCUGUUAAGAUUGAAGGAGAAUUUAGGCUGAAAUUUAACCUGUUUGAGAUGCGAGAAGUUAAGAGAUGUGGCGGCUCGAGAGAUGAAGUCGUUUACAUAAAAUCGAUCCUCUCUAAACCAUUCACUGUGUUACCCCCCAAAAACUUCCCUGGGAUGACCGAGUCCACAUGGCUUUCAAGGUCUUUUGCGGAUCAAGGAGUUAAGCUGAGAAUUCGGAAGGAAGCCCGUACACUUCU